CUGGAAAGGGGUCUGCACCUCUCUGAGCCAUCCAUAGAAGCCUGCGCAGUGACGCAGGCCAGGCCCACGGUAGUAGAUCACCAGAGUGCUCCCUCAACUCCUGAGUUCCAGUGUCAACUAGUCAGACACUGUGAGGACCUCCUAUGUGCUGGGGCCACUGAACAGGCCCCUCUGGCUAUGCAUUCUCACCUUCCUGGACUGGCCUCCCUCCUUGAAUGCCACUCAGACAUCCAGGCCUCGGCCCAAGUGUCCCUGAGGACAGAAUGCCUGGGCUCAUCAUUUGUUGUUUUUUUUUUCAGUUUCCUUCUAUUUAUGGCAAGAGAAAACGAUUUUCCAUUCCUGGCGGUGACACGAAGAUCCCCUUUUGAAAUAUAUUGAAAUAGAAACAGAAAAGGGGGUAGAGAGUGACAUGGACCUAAAGGGUGCUCCUUGGCUAUGAUUACUUCCUGUAACUCCCCGCUCAGCUCUAGGAGGGCUGGGGGCUGAAGAGCUGGGCCCAGCAUGCCCAGCACAGGCGCACCAGGGACUGUCCAAUGAGCCAACCAUGAUGCCCCCAACCCAAAUCCAACUGACUCCUCAAGGUGAUCUAGUAACAGUGGAUUCCUGAUCUUCUGACCAACACCUACACACACCUGCUGGACCCCAACAUCUGAACCUGUGAAAGGACCUAACCCCACUGGUGCAUACAGCAAGUGCACAUUCAGUGCACGCUGGGGGAACGCAGGCACUGCUCCUAGGAGCUCUUUCCUCCAGGUGCUAGAGACCUAAGGCUGGAGUCCUUCAGUCCCUUCACAAACACUGAUCUGCGCCACUCCUUGAAGCCUUUGAGGAGGCUGGGGACACCACAGUCUCAGGGACAACUGGACUCUGUUGUCAUCAAAGCGGGAUGUGUCAGGUCCAGUCAAUGUCCAAGGGCCUGCUGCGCCCGCUGCCUUAUUGUAAUAUGGUCUUCCGAGGCUGAAGGAGCCGGUGCCACCCAAAGGGCAGAAGCUGGGUCCCCUCCAUAGGGCUAGUCAAACACCUGCACAGGGACGGACAGGACGGCGGUUGCGGCUCCAGGGGAGGGCGGAAGUGGGGCGGUGGCGAGGGGGGAGCCGCAGCCCUCCGCGGUAACCUGAUCCUCAGGAAUGCGCCGAGGCCAGACGCGCCCCCAGCCCCAGGCCGCGGCCCCUCCCCCAGCCACCCCACGGGAUCCUGCCACCUGGGGGACUGUUCUCCGCCCCCAAGCCCUGCCCCCACUAGCCAGUUUGUUUUCAGUGCAGAGUUACCCUGUCCCGGCCCUGCAGGGUCCUGAGCUCUGGGGGACCAUCCCCAGCAAGCCCCGCCCCCAGGAGGCCCCCUUGCCUCAUCCCCCUUCUGCUCCUCUAACUCCUAUUCUUUCCUCUCCCGGGGAUUUUCCGUUUUAUCAAGUUGAUGGUAGGUCUCUGGGUGUUGAGUAAAGACUGAAAAUUCAGCCCAGUGGCAGAUCACUCUAAACCAGAAGGUCAGUGUCUUAGUACUGGGCGGCGCAGAGGUCAGAACCUGGGCUGGCGAGACAGAAGGGGGAGGGCACAUCAGAUUCAGUGUCUGGAAGGCCAGGUCCCUCUCCAGCCCUGGCUGGGGGAGCCCAGGCAGGUCAGGUCGCCAGUCCUCCGCAGACAACUGCUCUGGGAAAUCCGAUUAAAAUCUCUCACAACUUGCUGGGAAGAUAAAAGUAAAAAUAUGGACUCCAGGGCUGAGCCUGCUUAAUGUCCCUUCCUCCAGCCUCAUCUGGGACCCCACUGAUUUUGGGACAAAUACCACUUGGUGUUUGGUGAAGGCCUCACCACCUCUUUUCCACUUUGGCUCUGUGGCUGCCAAUUUAAUCCAGUCUUGCUGCCCCCCAGCUCUCCAUCAAGGCGAAAUGCUGGUCCUUGCCCCGGGCCUUUGCACUUGCUGAACCUACUGCCUGGGACACUGAUUCCCCAUUACUUGGUUAUUUGCUCCAACUUCUCUUUCAGCAUCGUCUUCUAGGGUGCCCCUCACACACUAACACACUCUAAGACAUCCUCUGCUUUACCAAUGAGGCCACCAUUUAUUCUCCCAAAGGCUGCAAUUAUAUUCCUGUUAGUCUGAGUGUGGGGAGGGUAUGGAGGUUUGUCUCAAUGUGUGUCCAAGCCAGUGCAUGUGGAAUAAGUGAGUUAUCCCUAGUUCACUGCAUGGAUUAAGCACACUCCCACCUUGUCUCAGGAAAUCCCUGUCUCUGAGGGACCCCCAGUCUGGGAGGACUAAAGCUGGACAAGAUAGCUGUUCCUCAAUCAACUUUAUGGGAUCAAGUUUGGGACAAAUGGAGGGAUGAGAAUGGAAUAUCUUGGAGGCCUCCCUAGCUGGGAGGAAGAAGAGGGCAGGGAAGGGGAUUGGGCAGAGGGAACAGCAACUCAGGCAGAGGAACCCACAGAAGGGGGAUAGACAGGCUGGCUGCCCAGGGCAGUUCUCUAUACUGAGGCCACGACCUCCCCUCUCCCUGUCUGGGAGAGCAAGGUUUGCUGCAGAUAGAGGACGGGUUUAGCCAACCUUGGAGUCUAAGGGGACUCCUAGGAGGCAUGAUUAGGAAAGGCUUCUUGAGAGGAAGCAGUGGAGGCAGGUUUUGAAGGAUGAGUAGGAAGGAGUUUGCCAAGAAGCUAUGUAAAGGCAGUCCAAGCUAAGAGAACACAGACCCAAAUGACUGCAGUUCAGUUUGGCCAAGUAAUAAUGAAGCAAAACAGUUAUUGAAUCCUUACUUUUUUUUCAAAUCCUCCCUAUAAAACAGUCCAUGUGGUAAGUAAGCUUAUUCACUCCUUUUUCUUAAGGCUGGAACCGAGGCUCACCAAGACAACACUUUGGCCUCUGAAGGCCUACUUGCCUUGAGAAAGGUCACUUGGCCCAGGCUGGCUUGGCCCACAGUUCAUCCCCCCACCUGCCAAGGUCAGGACUACACCUCCUUGGCCUCCUACUCAAUCCAGACUCUUAGAGAAACACCACCCAUCUCUUUCAAUCUAGUCCCACUACCAUAGCUCAGACUGAGGCCCCAGGACAGGGAUGUCUGGAGGCCAGGGGCAGGGGCUGGG
rnacentral:lncRNA from 1 species